UACGAAGGGGGCGAGCGUUGUUCGGAAUUACUGGGCGUAAAGGGCGCGCAGGCGGCUCUGAAAGUCAGAUGUGAAAGCCCCGGGCUUAACCUGGGAAUUGCAUUUGAUACUCUGGAGCUUGAGUACGGGAGAGGAGAGUGGAGUUCCCAGUGUAGAGGUGAAAUUCGUAGAUAUUAGGAAGAACACCGGUGGCGAAGGCGGCCCACUGGUCCGGUACUGACGCUGAGGUGCGAAAGCGUGGGGAGCAAACAGG
rnacentral:rRNA from 1 species